UGAGUAACCUGCCCUUAACUCUGGGAUAAGCCUGGGAAACUGGGUCUAAUACCGGAUAUGACUCCUCAUCGCAUGGUGAGGGGUGGAAAGCUUUAUUGUGGUUUUGGAUGGACUCGCGGCCUAUCAGCUUGUUGGUGAGGUAAUGGCUCACCAAGGCGACGACGGGUAGCCGGCCUGAGAGGGUGACCGGCCACACUGGGACUGAGACACGGCCCAGACUCCGUACGGGNGCAG
rnacentral:rRNA from 1 species